UACGAAGGGUGCAAGCGUUAAUCGGAAUUACUGGGCGUAAAGCGCACGUAGGCGGAUUUGUCAGUCAGGGGUGAAAUCCCGGGGCUCAACCUCGGAACUGCCUUUGAUACAGCAAGUCUUGAGUUCGAGAGAGGUGGGUGGAAUUCCUAGUGUAGAGGUGAAAUUCGUAGAUAUUAGGAAGAACACCGGUGGCGAAGGCGGCCCACUGGCUCGAUACUGACGCUGAGGUGCGAAAGCGUGGGGAGCAAACAGG
rnacentral:rRNA from 1 species